GGUGGUACAUGCUUUUAAUCCCAGCAUUAGAGAGGAACAUAAGGUGGGACGAGAUAGGAAUUCACUCUCUUUCAGUCUGAGGAUUUCAUAGAGGUAAAAGCUCUGUAGUAGCUUGGCUGCUUAGCUUUUCUGGUCUUCAGGUUGAACCCCAAUAUUUAUCUCUGGGUUUUUAUUAUUUAUGCUACACAGCCCCAGUUAAAUGCUUUCUAUAGUUUCUAUGGUCAUGUGUCUCUUCACAGCAAUAGAGCAUUUAGUAAGGCAGGCAUCCCAGUGACCUGCCAUUUACUCUAGAAUAUACCUCUCAUGCCUGUUAAAGAAAACUGGAACCUCUAAUUCCCAUGAAUAUGGUUCUUGCAAAGGAAAAGAAAGGUGUAUACUGUCUUAGACCUGAAAAAUGUAUUAUUCAGCCUCCCACUGACAGAGGUGAGUCAACCCAUCUUUGUUUUUAAAUGGACAGGCCCAGAGGGAGAUUACAUCAGGCAACUUAUCUGGACCGAUUUUCCAAGGACUUAAAAACUCUCCAAUCCUGUUUUAUGAGAUACUAAUGUUACCCUCCUGCCCUUCUGUCAGAGGUUUCUACAUUUACAAUACGUAGAUGACCUCCUCCUGGCCUCUAAAACUAAAAUAAAUUAUAAAAGAAUCACUGGGGGAACGUUGCAAGAGUCACAGACUCUGGGAUACUUACAGAAUGUUAGCUAUAGAAGCCUUGAAUUUUUUUCAUCAGAGGCUACCUAUCUUGGCUACCAACUGAGGGGAGGCAAAAAUAUUCUGUCUCAGAGCAGGAUUGCUGCCACCCUUCGGAUCCCAGCUGCAAAAACUAAGAGACAGGCUCAAGAAUUCCUAAGUGCAGCCAGGUAUUACUGCCUCUGGAUACCAGAGUUUACAGAAAUAGCAAGAUCUCUAUACACUAACACAAAGAGAGGUACUCUGUCCCUAAUCAGGACUGAGACUAAAAAAUGCUCUGAGUUUUGUUCCAGCUCUACCACUCCCCAACAUCUCAAAAACCUUUCAUCUGUUUUUCCAUGAAACAAAAUACAUUAUAAAGAGGUUUUAACCCAAACUCUGGGGCUAUGGAAAUGCACUGUGACAUACCUGUCAUUUGGCUCCCAUAGCCAUAGGAUAGCCCACCUGUCUAAGAGUUGCAGUGACUGCUACUAGUCUAAUAAUAAUUUUUUUAAAAAAAAUUAACUCUGUGUCUGGAUCUUACAGUCAAAGCAACUCAUGAUGUUAGACCCUCCUCUGAGAAACACCAGAACACUAGCUGUCUAAUGCCUAUGUAACCCAGUACCAGGCCCUACUCCUGGACCACCCUCAAGUCCUGCUUGAGAAAAUCACCACCAUCAAUCCUGCUACCCUCUUGCCUGAUAAGGACCUGCAAGUACUCACCCAUGACUGUCAAAAGAUGAAAGAUAAAACCAGGUCCUUCAGUCCUCCAUAAAGGACUAUCAGAAAGACUCUUGUUUGAGAUCAGUGAUACCAUCUGGAUAAAGCAGGUACCCAAAGGGGCACUGGAACCAUCCUGGAUCUCCAUUCCAACGGCCAUGAAUGUAGCUGGCAUUAUAUCAUAGAUUCACUACACCUAGGUCAAGAGAGCAAAAGCCACAGACAAUGCUGCCAAAUGGACUGUCUCUGGACUGGAGUAGACCCAUUAAAAUUGAGGUUUCACAAGGCUCAAGGCCUCUGGGGUCAUGCUGGGACUGAGGACAGAGAAAGACAGUUACUGAGGAGAUGAUACCCAGCAUGACUACAGACCAGCAAAUCAUAAUCCACCCUGGCCUUUGCUCACUGAUGCCCACUUUAGGUGUUGGGUUGUAUUGAAAUAAGGAAAAAUGUAGGAUUUUUAUCUUCUUAGAUAGAAAUACAGAGUUUGCAAUUCUGUGCAUGCCCUGCAGCUGGGCCCACUAGUUGCCAGGAGCAAAGGAA